UACGUAGGGGGCAAGCGUUGUCCGGAUUUAUUGGGCGUAAAGCGCGUGUAGGCGGCCAUGUAGGUCCGUUGUGAAAACUCGAGGCUCAACCUCGAGACGCCGAUGGAAACCAUGUGGCUAGAGUCCGGAAGAGGAGAGUGGAAUUCCUGGUGUAGCGGUGAAAUGCGCAGAUAUCAGGAAGAACACCCGUGGCUAAGGCGGCUCUCUAGUACGGUACUGACGCUGAGACGCGAAAGCGUGGGGAGCAAACAGG
rnacentral:rRNA from 1 species